CACGUAGGGGGCAAGCGUUGUCCGGAUUUAUUGGGCGUAAAGAGCUCGUAGGUGGUUCGGUAAGUCGGGUGUUAAACCCCCAGGCUCAACCUGGGGACGCCACUCGAUACUGCUGUGACUAGAGUCCGGUAGGGGAGCGUGGAAUUCCUGGUGUAGCGGUGAAAUGCGCAGAUAUCAGGAGGAACACCGGUGGCGAAGGCGGGUCUCUGGGCAACAACUGACGCUGAGGAGCGAAAGCGUGGGGAGCGAACAGG
rnacentral:rRNA from 1 species